ensembl:lncRNA
GAAGAAUCUAAAAUAUAACACUUUUUUGGUUACUACAUGAUUCCAUAUGUGUUAUUUCAUAGUUUUGAUGUUUUCACUAUUAUUAUACAAUGUAGAAAAUAGUAAGAAUAAAGAAAAACCCUUGAAUGAGUAGGUGUGUCUAAACUUUUGACUGGCACCGCAGGUGUCAGAAUUUUGUAUGAAUAGAUAAGAGACUGUGAUCAAUCAAUGAAGACAACCAACCACUACUCUUAUAGAAGUAACAAUGAUUGAAAAAUAUCAUACACUGUGAUUUUAUUGAUUGACAUUUAGCAUUUAAGACACAGCAGGCACAGAUGCAGGACUCUGAUUGGGCCAGUACAAUUACAAAUGUUGACCUCCACUAAUUGGUCCACUUACAAUCCACAACCCUUUUCUGAUGAAAUACAUUUGGUAAAUAUAUUUCUAAAUGUUGAAAUGGUAUACAUUCUUGAGUAAAUCUCACAACAUGUAGUGAGUAGCCUGUUUGAUUCCUUACAUGGUGUUGAUGUGUUUUAUAUUAGUUUUAUAUGCGUCCCAACAGUUACCAGUGUUACAUAAUUAAGCAAUAAGGCCCGAGGGGGUGUGGUAUAUGGCCAUUAUACAACGGCUAUGGGCUGUUCUUAUGCACGCAACCCAAAGUGCCUGGAUACAGCCUGUAGUAUAUUGGCCAUACACCACAACCCCCCAAGGUGCCUUAUUGCUAUUAUAAACUGGUUACCAACGUAAUUUGAGCAGUAAAAAUAAACGUUUUGUCAUACCUGUGGCAUACGAUCUGAUAUACCACGGCUGUCAGCCAAUCAGCAUUCAGGGCCCGAACCACCCAGUUUAUAAUUGUAAAUCAAUGUUCGAUAAAAAAGUAGUGUUUACAUUUAAAAGUCGAUUCAUGAUGCAUUUUAAUUACAUAAUAAAGUACAUUUACAGAGAAUCAUCAUCAUAUAUUUUGCUUUAAUAUGUACAUUUUUAUAACUUUAUUGGUUUGAAUAAGUUGUCUUAAUAUUCCUCUUCUUCUUCUUGUAUUGCAGUUAUUGUUAUUCCUCCACAUGUUAUUAACCAUGCAACUUAUAUUGAUUUAACAUGUGGGGGCACUGUUUCCUAAUAUUUCUUAUUCAAACAUGGCUGCGUAACAGUGGAGAUCCCAAACUAGGAAAAAGGAUGAUGGUGAACAUCAAUAUCUUGCCAACUUAAAAAAAAGUUUUACAACUGUCAUUGUUUAUUAGGACCACAUACCAGAGAUGUCUUAGUGAUGUCACUCCCCUCGCUAGACUUCCUUGGCUGGUUAAGAUAGGAGUGCAAAGUUGGGAGAAGAGCUGGGGUGCCACCCUGGCCAUAGAAAUAUAACUACUAGAACGGACAUUUCCAUUCAUUCUAUUUCUAUGACUCUUGACCACCUUGGUGACCCGAACUGCAAAAAUAAAAAAAAUAAACUUCAGGAACAAUCAUGCUCUUCUUAUUAUAGAACAUUAUGUUAUGACACACUGUACAUCAAUACUAAAGAGGUUUCCGUGGUCACACGCCAUCUCUUUCUGAGGGAAGAUCUCAAUUGCAUACUCCUCACGUCCACAUCUCCUUCUCAAAACCCAUUGGAUGAGAAAGACAGACGCUCUCCUCUCUGACCUUCUCCUCCAAUGGGUUUUGAGAAGGAGGUGAGGAGAGAAUACACGAGGAGUAUGCAAUGGAGAUUGUCCCUGAGUGUCACCCCAGUUCUUAAUUAACAGUCUGAUAUUAACAGUGCAUUAGCCAGAUAGCACAAUCCUCACAUUUUGUUCAUAUACACAUGGAAAUCAAUCACAGAAAUCAAUAUGUCAAUAUUAUAAAUAACAGUGUAAGUUAAUUGUAAUAACAGUAAUAACAGUGUAAUAACAGUGUAAGUUAAUUGCUUACAUUAACAGUCUUAAUGACCAUAACAAAUCUCACACAUAGAUUUUUAAUUAUUGCACAAAAUAUGUACACGAGACAUACCGUAAAGGAGAUGUCUUCCCACUUAACGACCUUGUAUCGUGAGAUGUAAACUAACGAUAGCUUUACAUGUGCAAGGUUGUACAUCUUGCCUACUAAACAAUCUUUGAUAAUGGCAGCACACAGAAAGACACAUCUAAAGAGCUUGUAAUCUCUGAAUGCAGGGAUGGGGAGAAGUGUACUUGUUUGUUUUUACUCAAAUGCAACUACUGCAACUACAUCCCAUCAAAAGCAUUAUGAUUAUACUAUGUUACUAAGUAUGUUAGUUGUGUGUGUUUCUGUGUGUGAUAGCAUGAGAGAGAGUGCUGCACUGGGUCAUUAUCUGUCUGUCUUGUGUUGUGUUGUGUGUGUGUGUGUGUGUGUAAUUUAGAACUUAACGACCCCUGUGAAGCUCCCGAAGCUCUGCAGCCACUUUUCGCAGCUCUGCCUCAAUCUCCAAAAGCUCCUGUAGGCACACAGAACAGAUCAGAAAGUGUGUUAGGUGCACACACACACACACACACACACACACACACACACACACACACACACACA